GAGGGUACAGCUCAGCAGGAGUGCAUGCUUAGCAUGCACGAGGUCCUGGGUUCAAGUCCCAGUACCUCCA
rnacentral:tRNA from 1 species